UUGGUUCUAUAUCUUUGCAAUUGUGAAUUGUUCUGUGAUAAACAUACGCGUGCAGGUGUCUUUUCCUUUGGGUAGAUACCCAGUAGUGGGAUUGCUGGAUUGAAUGGUAGGUCUACUUUUAGUUCUUUGAGAAGUCCCCAUACUAUUUUCCAUGAACACCCUAGAGUUUAUAGUAUUAAGUCCAACUUACACUGUAGAUAAUUAAUAAUUGCCCUCUAAAAAAAAAAAUCAACACUCUUUAGAGGAAUAUAAUAUAAUCCAGAAUUGCCACAGCUGCAUUUUUCAAAUCGGACAGACAGAUGAUCUAGUUUAUCUACCUUCCAAAAAAAUUAAAAAAUUAGCCAGUGCUCCCAGGUGCUUGGGGGGCUGAGGUGGGACGGUUGAUUGAGCUCAGUAGGUCGAGGCUACAGGGAGCCGUGAUCGUGCCACUGCACUCUAGCCUGGGCAACAGAGCGAGACUCUGUCUUUAAAAAAAAAAAAAAGUAUAUAAUGGAUUGCCUUAUGUCUCUAACUAUAAUACUUCCGUGUCCCUCCUCUUACCCUCCCUACCAGUCCCUUUGGAAUUGAAAAGAUCUAGUUCAUUCCAGUGUCUCCCCAUUAUAUGUAUUUACAUAGAAAUUUGUAGACAACAUUUCACAAGGAUUUGCAAAGUUCAAAGUAAACCUCAUAUUCUGCAUUCUGUGUGUAUUACUUUUUCUAAUAGAUGGGGCUUUAUGGAGGAAGUAAAAUGAAAACAAAUAUGAGAACUUUCUUUAGGAUGAGAGUAAUUUUGAUUCUUGUCAUAAAUGUUUUCUGACUUGAAUUUCUCUUAUGUUAUUAUCUAGUAAAGAGCUGAAGUGUUUUCCGCGUGAAUUCCAAAAUCUGUUCUAGCUCAAUUCUGAAAGUAUGUUAAGGAACUUUUAAAUUACAGGGCAUAUGUCUUACCUCAAUUGGAUUGUGCGUUUUUCCUGUGUUUUUCCUCUUGUCAGAAGCAAGUUGCACCAAAUCUCAGCUUAUUGAUUUGAAGAUUGAAUGUAUAGGCAAGAUCUGGCUUGCUUAGAAUUCCACUUCUUUGUAAUGUAAUCCCAGAUCAAGAAAUAUGUCAAAAUUCAUAAAUCAAACUGUCACCAUUAGUUCCCUGAACUUACAGUUCCUGUAACAGUAAAUGAAAUUAAAAUUCCUAUCUAGAGGAAACCUAUCAUGGUUUAGGUUGUUGCAGCUGUAAAAUUUUUUUUAAAAGACUAAAGGAUGGUCUACCAUUUGACUCCAAAAACCCCUUUUCUAUGUCUUGUUCUACAAUAAUUGACUUAUUCUCUUCCAGGAAAUGCAUAACAUUAUUUAAAAAGAAGAAUGAUACUAAUUAUAUAAUUGCAAUGUAACAGCGUACUAUUGUCGAUAACCAUUACUAUUGCAAACUAACUAGGCUCCAGGCCCUUGACCUGUGCUUCAUCGUGGAAUUCCUACCACUGCAUAUUCCUCCCUAGGCUUUAAGCGUGAAGGCAGACACAUCAUAUUUGGCUUAACACCUGCCGUAACACUGGGUACAUAGUGUAGUGAAAUUAAUGGACGCUGGAUGACUUUGCUUGCUUUACUGGUGAGUCAAGCGUAGAGUAGUUACUUGCUUGGAGCGAUAGCAGGCCAAAUUCUGACUCCAGAGCCCAUACUUUUCCUGUUACCAUCCACUGCUUCCACCGUCACCACAAAAGAAGAUGUUUGAGACUGGUCCUUUGAAAUCUAUGACCAAAUUUGUGUGACUCUUUGAGGUGGCAGGACAUUGUAUUACAGCUUUUUCCACAAUUCUUACUGAACUUUUUUCAUUAUCAUCUAAUGUCUAGUGUUUUAGUAAAUGUAGUUUCUUUUUUCUUUCCCUUUCUUUUUUUCUUUUUUAAGAGGUGGGGUCUUGCUCUGUUGCUCAGGCUGGAGUGCAGUGGUGUGAUUAUAGCUCAUUUUAGCCUUGAGCUCAUGGGCUCAGGCAGUUCUCCUACCUCAGCCUCCCACAUAACUGGGACUGCAGGCAUGUGCCACCAUGCCCGACUACUAAAAAUUUUUUUUUGGUAGAAAAACAGGGUCUUACUGUGUUGCCCAGGCUGGUCUCAAACUCCUGGCCUCAGGCAGUCCUCCUUCCUUGACCUCCCAAAGUGCUCGGAUUACAGGUUUGAGUCACCUUACCUGGCCUGAAUAUGGUUUCUUUAAGGUUCAUGUUGAGGGCUACAUUUCAGGCACAUGCGUAUUUCCGAGAAGCAUAAUUUACCCCAUACUGUAGACACAGAAAGGGAGACAUUGGGGAAGUAAUGUGCUGCCCAUGAUGAUUCCGCAGUUUGUAAAAGUCAUGAAUCCAGUUUUCCUAACUGCUACUCAGUUUUCUUUACUUACGCCAUAUGAUCAAUUUUUAGAUAACAGACGUUUUAAUUUAAUUUAAUUUUAUUUUUGAGACAGGGUCUUGCUUUUGUCACCCAGGCUGGAGUGCAGUGGUGUGAUCACAGCUCACCGCAGUUCUGUGCUCAAGUGAUCCUCCCGCCUCAGCCACCCAAGUAGCUGGUACUAGAGGUAUGUCACCACACCUGGCAAAUUUUUGUAUUUUUUUUUGUAGAGGUGGGAUUUUCCCAUGUUCCCCAGGCUGGUCUUGAACUCCUGAGCUUGAGCAGUCUGUCCACCUUGGCCUCCCAAAGUGCUAGGAUUACAGGUGUGAGUCACCACGCCCGGCCGACAACAGUGAUUUUAAAUGGAUUUGUGUUUAACAGUAAAAAACAAUUAUUUCACAGUAUCCAAAAAGAAGAAUAUCUGAGACUUGGGUGAGGGGAAAACCAGCUGUAUAAACUGAGAGCUGUACCUUGUUCCUGUAUGGAAGUAUGGAAUAUGGGAAAGAUAUUAGUUAUUUUUAAACUGAUUUUUAUUACUAGACCAAUUAAAAUCCCACUGUGAAAAAUAAGCCAUAAUUUUGACUAUAAAAUGAAAAUAAUUGAGGAAUUGUCAUAUCAAUAUUAAAAUAUACUUUAAGGCUAAAAUAAUCAAAACAAUUUACAAAAGUUUAUAGGUUAGUGGAGGCAGACAUAGUUUCCAAACAGACCCAGGAGAAGUUAUACGAAUUUACCAUGUGAUAAGGAUAAUCCAGCAACCCGGGGAGAAAAGGAAAGCUUAUUACAAAAGCUUGUAAAAAAGCUUAUGUAAAGAGUUUUUCUCCAUGAUAAGAAGAGAACAUGCUCCGUUCAUUAGUGAUUGUAGUAAUUCUUUCUUUCUUCUACUUUCCUGUUUUUUUUUGAGACAGAGUCUUGCUUUGUUGCCCAGGCUGGAGUGCAGUGGUGUGAUCUCAGCUCACUGCAACCUCUGCCUCCUGAGUUUGAGUGAUUCUCCUGCCUCAGCCUCCUGAGUAGCUGGGAUUACAGGCAUGUGCCACCAUGCCUGGCUAAUUAUUGUAUUUUUAGUAGAGACGGGGUUUCACCAUGUUGCCCAGGCUGGUCUUGAAUUCCUGACCUCAAGUGAUCUGCCUGCAGCGGCCUCCCAAAGUGCUGGGAUUACAGGUGUGAGCCACCAUGCCCAGCCUCUUUGUUCUUCUUUUAUACUUUGUACACCUCUUAACCCUUCUUUGGCCAAGAUCUGGGGGCUUUAGCAAUGACAAUUUCAAUUAUACUUUCAGUUGAAAGAUUUUUAAAAGUAAAACGUUAGCAUUGGAUCUGGAGAAUUUUGCUAACUGAGAUAAUUAAUAGCUGGGCUGGUGGUGAUAGGGUUUGUGUGUUUUUGAGAGAGAGAGAGAGAGAGAGAGGAAGAGACAGACAGAGAUGGAAAUAUAAAGAUCAUUCUUCCACUGUUAUAUGUGUUUUUUCCCCUUUAAAGGAAUAGGCAUUUGAAUUUCCUCUCUGUUGUCAGGUGUUCUGACUUGGGUACAUCAGCUCUUACUGAGUGCUUGAAUGUUCAGGAUUUCUAUGACAUAUCUCAAUCUAAUGAAAAUCUGACUGUGAAAUGUCUAUAUAUCUCCCCAGGCUUCGUUUUCUUGGUUAAAUGAGAAAAGUGCUCUUAUUUCAAAUGUUGGAAAGUAGCUCUACCUUUUUCUGGAAAAAAAAAAAAAAUAAAAAAAAAAUAAUAAUAAUAAUAAUAAUAAUAAGAUGGGAAAUGUCUGUCCCACAUCUAAAGCAGUUUUGAUCUUUAGCAUAUUUAGUUUUUUUUUUUUUUUUUUUCCUGGCAGCAGCUGAAAAUUAAGAGGAUCAAAGUUAUGUUCCUAUAAAAGACUUUUUUCCUGUCAGUGCUUGAAGGCAUUGUCUGACUCCCCCCACCCCCACGUUUUAAAAGCUGAUUGCUUAUCUUAUUCAGGUAGAAUUUAAUUUCAUGCCCAUCAUAUUCUAAUAGAACAAAAAUGAUACUUAGUUUCAGACUGUGGAUUUUAGUUUGAA
rnacentral:lncRNA from 10 species